ensembl:piRNA 21ur-14019 ncRNA
UUUCCGUUCUUAUUUCAACAG